UACCAUCACCUGGCCCUGAGGGAAGUCAUAAAGGCCUGGCAGGUCCGGCUGGACUGCCAGGGGCACCUGAAACUGGCUCAUGAUGCUGCCAGAGGUAGGGGCAUAGGUGCCGGAGCGGAGCCACGGUCCGGCCUCCCGCCGCCUGCCAAGGCCACCACUGGGUCCUUCUUUCCUAAAACAGUCAAGAGUGCACAAGGGUGAAGGCAGGUAGCUCCAGUCUCCAGGAUGGGCGCCUCUUCACCUCCUCUGAAGCAGUCUGAUAGGGCUCAGUUGGGGGCCACUCUCCCAUCUGCUGGGGCCCAGGAUCUGGGGCAGGACGCCAGCGGCGGUCCCCAGAGAAGGGAUCAUCUUGGCUGGGUGGGUUCUUCACCCUCACCCACCCUGGACCCAGGCAUGAGUUUACUCCCAGCGUCCGACACGGUGCCUGGGACCCAUAUCUCAACAUAUUCCUGUUGAAUGAUGAACAGAGCCCUGCUUUCUACUGGGACCCAUAGACUGGCUCCAAAGAUCCGAUCCAGGAUACCACUUUGCAUUUAGAUGCCAAUCUUUUUAAAGGAGAACAUUAAAUAUGAUUAAAAGCUGUUUUAGGAGAAUCGUCUGAGAACAACAACCAGGUUGGACCAGGAAGCUGGGUAGCAAGGCAUUUGUAAAGGCAUUCCAGAAUCUUCGCUGAAUUUCCAAAUGCACCUUACUGCCCGGUGCUAAAGAGACUCACCAGUUGGAGGUGCCAUUGCCAGGAAGACGAGAUCUGGGCCACUGGAAGCAUGUCUGCCUGCUCAGGGCCCACAGGGGCCGAAGCAUCUUUAGGAUGCUCCUGGGGGCCUCCACCUAGCAGCGUUAGUAAGCUAGCAGUUCUUCCUGCCCGGGCAACCAGCAUGGACUGAUAAAUCUAAAU